GACGUCACUUUAGAAGCUACGUCGUAUUAAAGAUCGUGGCCUAACAACUAUGGGCGUAACGUUGACCCCUAACACAAGAUAGCAUGAUCUCGGCCCGGGUUGCUGGAACUUAACCCAGGUAUACAAAACACGUCAUCAAUGUAUCCUUUCCGUGAAGGUUUACAGUAUUCCUUUAUCCAUGUAAUUUAUCACGUCUAAAGGUGGAACUUUAAAGGCGACGUUGUCUCUUUUGACAAGCUGCAGAGUUCAGUCCUUUGUCCCGAAACAUAAAAGAAAUAGGGAGAAACCAAAUUCCCUCAUGAAACAAGUUUGUAAUGAGUUUGUUCAAUCAAAGGCUGCUGCAUUUUCUGUGAUGCAGAUUGGUAUCUCUUCUGUAGAAAAGUAUGCUUGUAAAAUUGGUUGUCCGGGAACCACUAGUAGUUUGUGGUCUGAAUUCAUGAGGCCGUCUUGUUGUUUGAACAGAA